AGGCUUCUUGAAUCCACCGGAAGAGGCCUCCGGUAGCGGCAAGCACUUUCACGACGACGUCCUUGAUGCCAGAGCUAAGAAUGUUUUUCAUGGCCAACCAAUGCCUACUACUAUUCCGGCAGCUCCACAUCCUCCAACAAUGCGUCCUAGGGUGCGGGCUAGAAGAGGACAGGCUACAGACCCACACAACAUAGCUGAACGGUUGCGCAAAGAAAGAAUAGCAGAAAGAAUCAGGGCUCUACAAGAACUGGUUCCAAGUGUCAACAAGACGGAUAGAACUGUAAUGUUAGAUGAAAUAAUUGAU